AUUGAACGCUGGCGGCAGGCCUAACACAUGCAAGUCGAGCGGAUGAAGGGAGCUUGCUCCUGGAUUCAGCGGCGGACGGGUGAGUAAUGCCUAGGAAUCUGCCUGGUAGUGGGGGAUAACGUCCGGAAACGGGCGCUAAUACCGCAUACGUCCUGAGGGAGAAAGUGGGGGAUCUUCGGACCUCACGCUAUCAGAUGAGCCUAGGUCGGAUUAGCUAGUUGGUGGGGUAAAGGCCUACCAAGGCGACGAUCCGUAACUGGUCUGAGAGGAUGAUCAGUCACACUGGAACUGAGACACGGACCAGACUCCUACGGGAGGCAGCAGUGGGGAAUAUUGGACAAUGGGCGAAAGCCUGAUCCAGCAAUGCCGCGUGUGUGAAGAAGGUCUUCGGAUUGUAAAGCACUUUAAGUUGGGAGGAAGGGCAGUAAGUUAAUACCUUGCUGUUUUGACGUUACCAACAGAAUAAGCACCGGCUAACUUCGUG
rnacentral:rRNA from 1 species